CUUAACCUGGUAACCAGGCAACUGAGAGAUGCCUGAGAAGCUCCCUGCAUCAUCCAGAGCCAGGGGAUGUGUUUGGAAUGGAGGGGAAAGGGCUCAGGAGCUCUGCAGUUCGUGGGAUCUGCAGCCAAUCAUCAGGGGCUGUCAGGCUGGCUGUGCAUCCCCUGUGUCCCUGUGAAGCUUCAGUCUCAGUGAGGGUCAAAUUCAGACACAUGGAUCAUCCCUUCACUGCCCAGAGACCAAGGCAGCUUCCAUCAACUCCUGCUAAGGGAAGGACAGCCACAGAAAUACAGAGAACUACCCCACUCGUCAAGGAGGGGCCCCAGACACCACAGAUUCUGAAAGGGGCUUAAUGAUAAAGUUGAAUGAAAUUAAACUAUUUCCAUCAUAAUAACCUGUGAGUUCAUUUCCCCACAUUCCCACCUGAUCCAUUUUUUUUUUUCUGCUUGACUUUAAAGGGGCUGUGCAGCAGCAGAGAACAAAACCAGGACUGGAAAGGGGAAUCCAUCUCCCAGGGUCAGCAGAAGCUGUUGGGUCCUACUGCCAGCGUGGCUCAGCAAAGGUCACCCCAAAUGGGCAGAGCUGUGAGUUUUUGCAGGAGGCUAGGAAGCAAAAAGAGGCCAAGCUUGAGCUGAGCUGCUCAGGGGCUUUCAGAGAUGCCCCAGAAAGGGGAAGGAUGCUGAUGCCUGCGCUUGGUCAGGAGACAGAGAACAGCAAGGAAGCCAAUGCAGCUGUGACUGUCAUGUUGGCUUUGCUUCAUUUACAGCACCUGUUAACUGCACAAGGUUUGUGUGGGGAACAGCUGGUGAGGUCCCUCCCUCUGUCCUGCUUCUGCAUGAGCUGGCCUGCUUGUGUUCUCAGCAUGUCAGACCCAGGAGGUUCUUGUCCUUGUGUGUCCAGGCAGCAUUCUCAUUAUGGCUCUAGUUGUGUAACUUCCCAAUUUUAAAUUAAACUGUGAAACAAUUUUCCCAUUUCUUUUCAUCUCAGACCAUAAAGGAUGACAAAAUAAUGGAGAGGGGGAAAGCAUCUCUUCACCUUGGGUGUUCUCAGGACCCUUGUGUUCUUCAGCUUGUUAAUUUCUGAUCCCUCUGCUCCAAACCUUCAUCCUUCCUAUUGUCCAUAGGUGAAGAUUUUUACCCUUUACACUUUGGAAAUUACUUGAGUCAGAAUGGAAAAAGCUUCUGAAGUUUAAGAUAAAGAACUUCUGUCACUUCCUCAAACCCAAGGGAGAUCAUAUUUGUUAGGCUGUGGUAUGUUUGUGACUGCAGAGCGCACUUUCAGAAGAUGUUUACACAGAUUAUUUCAGAUAUAACUCCCUGGCUUUUUUGAUAUUUAUAUAAAGUUUGGUGAAGA
rnacentral:lncRNA from 1 species